rnacentral:RNase_P_RNA from 1 species
GAGGAAAGUCUGGGCUUAUGAACAAAAAUGGUUGCAGGAUAAUCUCCCGUACAAGUAAUUGUGAGGAAAGUGCCACAGAAAAAAAUACCACUAAAUGUUUAGUAAGGGUGCAAUGGUGUGUGUAAAGUGCUUGAAGUUGUUUAUAUCAUCUUUUCUGAUUCUAUUUGUAUAGAGAAGAACAAUAAGGUCAAUAGAAUUUGAAUUUUUUGAAAUUAUAAAAUUUGUAUAAUAACAUUAUGUUUUUAUCUAAACACUCGAUAACAAACAGUUUUUUAUUUUAAAUACAAUUUUUGUCUAAACCUAAGUUGUUUCAACCAUGAAGGACUAAUUUGCACAUGUUUGAUCACUAAUUGAUAAGUAUACUCUUUGUUGGUCAUACUGAAUGUAUAUUGUUUGAGCGUGAAGCAUAUAAAUAUGUACCUCACUUUCUUGGAAAAGCAAAUCUUUAAUCUGUUAAGAGCAUACCAGAAACAUUGUAAGAUGUUUGCUAGGUAAACCCCGACAGUAAGCAAAUCCACUAUUUAAUUUUAUUUGUUUACGAUAGUGAUUUAUUAAAUGCAUAAAGUUAUUAUGAAUUGUAACUUAAGAUAAAUAAUCAUCCUUUUAGGGUAGCAUCACCAAGUUGUUACUUAAAAGAACAAAACCCGGCUUAA